UACGUAGGGGGCAAGCGUUGUCCGGAUUUAUUGGGCGUAAAGAGCGUGUAGGUGGCCAUGUAGGUCCGCUGUGAAAACUCGAGGCUCAACCUCGAGAUGUCGGUGGAAACCACAUGGCUAGAGUCCGGAAGAGGAGAGUGGAAUUCCUGGUGUAGCGGUGAAAUGCGCAGAUAUCAGGAAGAACACCAAUGGCGAAGGCAGCUCUCUGGGACGGUACUGACACUGGAGACGCGGAAAGCGUGGGGAGCCGGAACAGG
rnacentral:rRNA from 1 species